rnacentral:lncRNA from 1 species
GGGGGAGGCAAAAAAAAGUUUUCUCUCCUCUGCAAAAGGCGGGCAGGGCGCCCUAAGUCCAAGGACAAUCCAUGGAAGUGUUCGCUUCUUCACAAGUUGUGCAAACGAUUUGUUAGUUCAUGAGCCUAAUUAGUGCGGGGAUCACAUAAACAGCUUCCUCCGAAGCCUGGUAAAUGGCUUGAUGAUUGGUCGCUAUUACUCGCCCUGAGGUGGAAGGGGGGAGACUCUUUAAAGUGCGUCAGAGGGAGGCAGGCGCCUGGGAACCCGGAGGCCUGGAUCCGGGCCGAGAGUGGAACGGAGUCGGCGCCGCUGCCUCGGCUGUGCCUCUGGCGCCCGCCAGGCCGCCCGGCCUCUCCGCGCCCUCGUCCCGCGCUCCCGGCUCAGUCGCUACCGCGGCGCCCGCUGCAGCUUCUCCUCCGCCUCUUUCGCCGCCUCCUCUGCCUUCAGCUUCUUCUCUUCUUCCUCCUCCUCCUCUUCCUACUUCUUCCUCUCCUCUUCUUCCUCCUCCUCUUUCCCCACCUCCUCUCUCUCAGCCACCGCCUCCUCCUCCACCGCCACCACUCCCUCUGGGGCACCCCGGUCCCUGCAGAGUCCCGGCCGGCGGCGCCUCGGCUGCAGCCCCCUGGAUCCUGAGCCUGCUGAGCCCGAGCUGGUAGGACAGACGGACAGACAGAUACGCAGAUUCCUCACGCCUAGCGCUCCGCCGCUGCUGCCCUCCGCGGCCCCGGGUCAGGGGAGCUGGGAUCGCCCCCCGAGUACCGCGAGGGUGCUGGGAUAGAGCUGGUCAUAAUCAAACCAAAGAGGAAAAGGGAAGUGAAUGCUGGUUGCCGAAGGAAACAUUCUCAAGCAGGGAGAGUCGAUGGGAUGAGGAGUCGAUGAAGACCUGCAGAAAGAUCUAAGGGGUCACGGGGCGCUUUGAAGGGCAGUGGCCCUGGAUCUGCUUCUCCUUCACAAGGUCUGUCCUGCCUUUUCACUGCUGGCAGAGCAUUCCGGUUUGACUUCUCACACAUGGCUGGGGUUGGGUGGCUGUUUUGACUUCCAAAAUAUUUGAAGGGAGUAGAGGUGGGCAAAACUUUGCAACUGAGGGGCUGGCCCUGUGGCCGAGUGGUUAAGUUCGCGCGCUCUGCUGCAGGCGGCCCAGUGUUUUGUUGGUUCGAAUCCUGGGCACGGACAUGGCAUUGCUCAUCAAACCACGCUGAGGCAGCAUCCCACAUGCCACAACUAGAAGGACCCACAACGAAGAAUAUACAACUAUGUACCAGGGGGCUUUGGGGAGAAAAAGGAAAAAAAAAAUAAAAUCUUUACCAAAAAAAACA